rnacentral:rRNA from 1 species
AAUGAACGCUGGCGGCAGGCCUAACACAUGCAAGUCGAGCGAGGUAGCAAUACCUAGCGGCGGACGGGUGAGUAACGCGUGGGAACGUACCCUUUGCUUCGGAAUAGCCCCUGGAAACGGGGAGUAAUACCGGAUGAGCCCUACGGGGGAAAGAUUUAUCGGCAAAGGAUCGGCCCGCGUUGGAUUAGGUAGUUGGUGGGGUAAUGGCCUACCAAGCCGACGAUCCAUAGCUGGUUUGAGAGGAUGAUCAGCCACACUGGGACUGAGACACGGCCCAGACUCCUACGGGAGGCAGCAGUGGGGAAUCUUAGACAAUGGGCGCAAGCCUGAUCUAGCCAUGCCGCGUGAUCGAUGAAGGCCUUAGGGUUGUAAAGAUCUUUCGUGGGGGAAGAUAAUGACGGUACCCCAAGAAGAAGCCCCGGCUAACUCCGUGCCAGCAGCCGCGGUAAUACGGAGGGGGCUAGCGUUAUUCGGAAUUACUGGGCGUAAAGCGCACGUAGGCGGAUUGAAAAGUCAGAGGUGAAAUCCCAGAGCUCAACUUUGGAACUGCCUUUGAAACUCUCAGUCUUGAGGUCGAGAGAGGUGAGUGGAAUUCCGAGUGUAGAGGUGAAAUUCGUAGAUAUUCGGAGGAACACCAGUGGCGAAGGCGGCUCACUGGCUCGA